CAUACGAAAAUAGCGAAAACUUAAAUAAUUAUACGAUCAAAGCUAGCCAUGAAAUAAACAUGAGUAAACUUCUUUUAGAAUGUGAAGGAAAAUCUGCAAAAAAAAAAAAACCUUUUCCAAAUAUGCGUGAAAAAAAAAAAAAAAAAAAAAGUACUACUACUACUACUACUACUGCUGUAACUGUUAGUAACGAUAGUGGUAAAACUAGUUCGAAUAAUAAAAACAAAAAUAUUGAUUUAAAUGAUUUUGAUAAAAAUACGCUUAGUUUAUUAAACACAUAUGGUGAGUUGUAUGCCGAUUGUGCAAUGAGCACAGAAGAAAUAGCUAUUGCUUUUGUAAAAUAUUAUGGAAAAGCAGAAAAAGUAAAUUUUAUAAAACUAAGAAAAUUAAUAAGGCUAGAGUUAAUUGAAAAAUUAGAAAACAUAGAAAAUAGUUCUUGUCAUGCGUCAAGUAGGUUGAACUAUGAGCUAUCCUCUUCUAUUGCUAGCAACAGUAAUAAUGCUGAUAAUGUAAUAACUAGUGAAAUAUAUAACGAUGAUAAUAGAUUUUUUAAUGGUUUUAAUAUGUUAAAAAAAAAAAAUAAAAAUAAAAAGUUAAAUAAAGUGAUAAAAGUUAAAAUAACAUCAAAAGGAAAAGACUUUUUAAAUAUGGAAAAAGAAAAAAUAGUGAAAGAAGUAAAAAAAAGAAAUUCAGAUAUAGGUAUUGUAGAUGAUGGAUCUAAAGCAGAUAAUAAAAUAAAUUCAGAAGAUGAUGAGAGUUUUAUGAGUAUGGAAUACAUAUCAACAGAAAUAAGUGAAUCAAAAGAACAACUAAAAAAAGAAAUAAUAUAUAACGAUGCUAAAAAAUGUGAUGAUUUAAAAAAUUUUGAACAAAUGAAUGAAAAACAUUUGGAUGCAUCUAUGUUAAAUGACGACAAAAUAGUAAAAAAAAAAAACGGAGAAAUAACAUAUUUACAAACGAAAAAUUAUUUUGAAAAAAAUUAUGUGCAUAACUAUUCACCAUAUAAUGAUUAUAACGUAUCAUUUGAAACGUUUUAUAACAAAGAAGUAAAUGAUUUUAGUUAUAAAAAACAAAUCGGUUUAGAAAUGAAAAAACAUUACACAAAGCAUAAUUAUACUAACAGUAAUGGCACUGAUAGUUGUAGUCCCAAUAGUUACGAUGGUAGCAAUGUUAUUAGCACAUGUGGUGGUAAUAGCAAUAUAAAGAGUUAUAAUGAAGAGUCGUAUAUAAAUUUUGACAAUGGAAAUAAAAAUGAAAACAAUGACAGUCUUAAUUUAUUACUAAAAAUGGAUAUAAAAAAGAAUGAAAUACUUAAAAACUUAAAAUUAAAUUUCAAAGAAAGGUUAGAAAAAAAAAAAAUAAUGAAUAAUACGUUAAAUAAUGGGUGUACUGAAAAGGUGUUAAGCAAUGAUGUAUUUCAAAAUAAGAACAUUACAAAUAAUGAACAAUUAAAUAAUAAUAGAAAUUGUCAGAGUUCAAAUGUAUAUAUUUUAGGAUGUAAUGAAUUUAAAAAUGAUGAAAAGCGUGAUGAAAAGUGUGAUGAAAAGCGUGAUGAAAAGCGUGAUGAAAAGCGUGAUGAAAAUGAUAGUUGUUAUUUAGUAUAUGAAUAUACGCCUGACCAUGUUAAUAAGAAUGAGGUCCAUGAUAAUACUAAUAACAAAACUUAUCGUAGUAACUAUAGUACCGAGCAUACGCGUGA
ensembl:lncRNA